CCGUGGGCAGAAACACGGAUGCCCCACGACGGUGUGAAAUCCUAACUCUCUCCCUCCCUGCUCCACCCACACACACCCGUGGGACUCGUAGGUCACUUUCAACCAUCUCGCCGGCCCGAGCAUCUGGGCCGUGACGUCAUCAACACCCGCCCACCGCGCGCCCGAGGUUGACAAGGUCACGGAGGGCAGACUUGUAAAAGCUGUUCAACUUGGUGCCGUCCACGCUGAGCGCCUCUCCCUCGACGGCAGGGUCUUGUAGGUGAGCAGCAGUGAAGAGACUGUUCAUUCCUCAUCUAUCAGCAGAACCAAAUACAGCGGCUUCCUUUCUGAAACUUGCACUCAUUGUUACCACCAAGAAACUGUUGCGUCCAAGACUCCUGUGUCACAUGGAUCCCAUAAAGUAAAAGGUAUCGUGGAGGACCUUUUCCCUUUUUCUCAGGUUAAAUAACCUAACGUUUUAACCAAGAAAAAACGCUGAUAAUGUGAGGAUAUGAAAGGCUUUCCUUUCCAUCCCACAGAGGACUGAAAAAGGAGGGAUUGAGAAAGUGAGGAAUAACGUUCUGACCCCAGAGCUGGGGUAUGGAGGAAACGUUCUGGGGAACCGAGCGCAGG
rnacentral:lncRNA from 1 species